rnacentral:rRNA from 1 species
UACGUAGGGUGCAAGCGUUGUCCGGAAUUAUUGGGCGUAAAGAGCUCGUAGGCGGUUUGUCGCGUCUGCUGUGAAAAUCCAGGGCUUAACCCUGGACCUGCAGUGGGUACGGGCAGACUGGAGUGCGGUAGGGGAGAUCGGAAUUCCCGGUGUAGUGGUGGAAUGCGUAGAUAUCGGGAGGAACACCAGUGGCGAAGGCGGUUGCCUGGAGCUUUGCUGACGCUGAGGCGCGAAAGCGUGGGGAGCGAUCCGG